UACGAAGGAUGCAAGCGUUAUCCGGAUUCACUGGGUUUAAAGGGUGUGCAGGUGGGGUAAUAAGUCAGUGGUGAAAGCCCCCGACUCAAUCGGGGAACUGCCAUAGAUACUGUUAUUCUUGAGUGUGGUUGAGGUGGAUGGAAUAUGACAUGUAGCGGUGAAAUGCUUAGAUAUGUCAUAGAACACCGAUCGCGAAGGCAGUCCGCCAAACCAUUACUGAAACUGAAACACGAAAGUGCGGGGAUCAAACAGG
rnacentral:rRNA from 1 species